rnacentral:rRNA from 1 species
GAUCGUACGUACCCCAAGGUGGGGGAUAGCCUGUGGAAACGCAGUGUAAUACCCCAUGUGCUCUACGGAGGAAAGCUUCGGCGCCUCGGGAGCGGCGAUCGACCUAUCAGGUUGUUGGUGAGGUAAUGGCUCACCAAGCCUCAGACGGGUAGCGGGCGUGAGAGCGUGACCCGCCGCAUCGGGACUGAGACACUGCCCGGACUCCUACGGGAGGCUGCAGCGACGAGUAUUCCGCAAUGGGCGAAAGCCUGACGGAGCAAUGCCGCGUGUGGGGUGAAGCGUCUUCGACGUGUAAACCCCUGUCAGGUCCUAGGAACAAUGACCGGGACCAGAGGAAGGACCGGCUAAUUCCGUGCCAGCAGCCGCGGUAACACGGAAGGCCCGAGCGUUACUCGGAAUCACUGGGCUUAAAGAGUGCGUAGGCGGACCGUCAAGCAUCUUGUGAAAGCCCGCGGCUUAACCGCGGAACUGCAGGGUGAACUGACGGUCUUGAGGCGGACAGGGGAAGCCGGAACUGUCGGUGGAGCGGUGAAAUGCGUAGAUAUCGACAGGAACGCCAAUGGAGAAGUCAGGCUUCUGGGUCCGUCCUGACGCUGUAGCACGAAAGCGUGGGGAGCAAACAGGAUUAGAUACCCUGGUAGUCCACGCCGUAAACGAUGUGCACUAGGUCGGGGGGGCUUUCACGCCUUCUCGGCCGAAGUUAAAGCGUUAAGUGCACCGCCUGGGGAGUACGGUCGCAAGGCUAAAACUCAAAGGAAUUGACGGGGGCUCACACAAGCGGUGGAGCAUGUUGCUUAAUUCGAGACAACGCGAAGAACCUUACCUGGGUUUGACAUGCACGGAUUAGCCCGGUGAAAGUCGGGUGACACUCUUGAGUGGAACGUGCACAGGUGCUGCAUGGCUGUCGUCAGCUCGUGCUGUGAAGUGUCGGGUUAAGUCCCUUAACGAGCGCAACCCCUAUCGUUAGUUACUAACGCGUUAUGGCGAGGACUCUAACGAGACUGCCGGUGUCAAACCGGAGGAAGGUGGGGAUGACGUCAAGUCCUCAUGGCCUUUAUGCCCAGGGAUGCAAACGUGCUACAAUGGUACGGACAGAGCGAAGCAAUACCGCGAGGUGGAGCAAAUCGCAAAAACCGUGCCCCAGUUCGGAUAGCAGGCUGCAAUUCGCCUGCUUGAAGCCGGAAUCGCUAGUAAUCGUGGAUCAGCUACGCCACGGUGAAUACGUUCCUGAGCCUUGUACACACCGCCCGUCACGUCAUGGAAGCUGGAAGCGCCCGAAGUCGCCUCAUCUCAGGGGUGCCCACGGCGAGGCCGGUGACUGGGACGAAGUCGUAACAAGGUA